CCCUUAGAUGUCCUGGGCCGCACGCGCGCUACACUGAGUGUCUGAGAUACGAGUCUGCCUGGUCCGGCAAGGUCUAGGUAAUCGCUAAAAGACACAUCAUGCUUGGGAUAGAUUAUUGCAAAUAUUAAUCUUGAACGAGGAAUUCCUAGUAAGCGCAAGUCAACAGCUUGCGUUGAUUACGUCCCUGCCCUUUGUACACACCGCCCGUCGCUACUACUGAUUGGAUGUUUAAGCGAUGUUCUCGAACUGCUAGCGACUUAGCUUCGGUGAGGUCGCAGUGUGGGAAGUGAACCUAGCUUUGGUGUCUAGAGGAAGUAAAAGUCGUAACA
rnacentral:rRNA from 1 species